AUACUCCGAGUGCAGCAGACAGCAGAGAUGUGCAUUGCUGGAAUCCAGAGUGUUUCGUAAUUUGGCAGCCACUUGCUGAAAGCCCUGCAGAUACAAAACAACACUUAUUUCAAGUCUUGAGAAACAUCUACUAAGUAGAAGAAAAAAGCAUUUAGAGCGUGUUUCACCUCUAUAUGUGCUGACAAGAUCAGAAGUGCAGGGUGCCAGCAUGACUGUGACUGUGUUGAACAAUGCACACCAAUGCUUUCAGAAAUACAGGAAAGAGCAAUUUAUAUUAGGAUUGGAAUUCACUUCAGGCUUUACUGCUAUUUGUCACCACUCAGGAAACCCAUCCCUAGCUCUAGGAGAACACUCAAUCCCUGCUGACAGCCUGGAAGAGGAAGAGAAAAUAGCAGAGCUGCAGCUAUUAAGACCAACAGGCAAAUAUUUUAUUCAAACUCAACUUUUUCUUCCCAAGUUACUUUUAAGAAUGUUUUUCUGUUUGUGGGAAUGUGAAUGUGGGUUGUUUGUUUGUUUGUUUUCCUGGGGACUCUUCUAUUCAGCUGCUUCAUCUUCUCCCACCUUUCAGACAGCAGAGCUUGCAGCAGUGACAAGAUGUAAUCCCAAGUAAAACUGCCUCUGCCUGUGGCCUUGGUUAACCUGCUGGCAGUGAUACGUGCCUGGGCACGGGGCAGCUGUUUUACACAGCUCAGCAUGGACGUGCUGCCACUCCCAGUCACUUUUAGGACCCAGUUGAGUUGUUUACAGCAAUCUCAAAAAAAGCUUGUAAUAAAAAUUGUUCUGCCUUCCUGAAGCCA
rnacentral:lncRNA from 1 species